GGCACUUUGGCGGAGUGGUUAUCGCGCAGGCCUGCUAAGCCUGUUCCUUCGUAAGUUCCUCUCGCAGCAAUAUCAUCGACGAGUACUAAUUAGCGCAGGGGAGCCAGGGUUCGAAUCCCUGAGGUGUCG